UUGGGAAGGAUUUAGUGUGAUUG
rnacentral:piRNA from 1 species